AUGUAUAGGAUUUGUUUAACUUGUUCUGUAAGUUGUUCAAGAUAUCUCAUUGCACAAGGCUUGGCAUUUCGCGGACAUGAUGAAUCAGAUACUUCUCUAAACAAGGGAAACUUUAGAGAGAUGAUAGAUUUGGAAAAAACUAAGAAUGAACAAGUCAGAGAUGCCUUUAACCAUGGUGGCAGAAAUUGCACAAUGACAUCUGGUGACAUUCAAAAGGAGCUUGCAAUGUGUUGUGCACAUGAAGUUAGAAAGAAGAUCAUGGCAGAGCUUGGUGACAAACAAUUCUCAGUGCUUAUUGAUGAAUCACGUGAUAUAUCUGUGAAAGAGCAAAUGGCUGUGAUGUUUAGGUUUUUGAAUGACAAAGGGAGGGUUAUAUGA
rnacentral:rRNA from 1 species